rnacentral:rRNA from 1 species
GACGAACGCUGGCGGCGUGCUUAACACAUGCAAGUCGAACGGAAAGGCCCUGCUUUUGUGGGGUGCUCGAGUGGCGAACGGGUGAGUAACACGUGAGUAACCUGCCCUUGACUUUGGGAUAACUUCAGGAAACUGGGGCUAAUACCGGAUAGGAGCUCCUGCUGCAUGGUGGGGGUUGGAAAGUUUCGGCGGUUGGGGAUGGACUCGCGGCUUAUCAGCUUGUUGGUGGGGUAGUGGCUUACCAAGGCUUUGACGGGUAGCCGGCCUGAGAGGGUGACCGGCCCCAGUGGACCUGGGGUGCGCCCCAGACCGAAGCGGGAGGAAGGGGGGGGAAAUUGUGCACAAGGGGCGGAAGCCUGGAGCAACAACGCCGGGGGGGGGAUGACGGCCUUGGGGUGUUAACCCUCUUUCGCGUGUCACGAAGCGUGGGGAGCGGAAAUUGUCAAAAAAGCACCGGUUACCAACGG